rnacentral:rRNA from 1 species
AGGGCACCAGGUGGAUGCCUUGGCGCUGGAAGGCGAUGAAAGACGUGGUAGGCUGCGAAAAGCUUCGGGGAGGAGCCAAACAUCCUUUGAGCCGGAGAUGUCUGAAUGGGGAAACCCGGCGGGAGUCAUGUCCCGUCACCGUCAGUUGAAUAAAUAGGCUGACAGGAGCUAACGCGGGGAAGUGAAACAUCUCAGUACCCGCAGGAAAGGAAAUCAAACGAGACGCCCCCAGUAGCGGCGAGCGAACGGGGCAUAGCCCAAACCCCGCACUCAGUUUAUGCAUUGAGCUGUUUGGUUCAGUGUAUAAAGUGAGUGCGGGGGGUUGUAGGGCCGGCAUAAAGGAUCUGUGAUUAGGCAGGAGAAGUAAGCUGGAAAGCUUUGCCAAAGCGGGUGACAGCCCCGUAUCCGAAACCGAAAGCAGCCUGGCCGGUACCUGAGUACCGCGAGGCACGUGAAACCUCGUGGGAAUCCGGGAGGACCAUCUUCCAAGGCUAAGUACUAUCCAGCGACCGAUAGCGAACCAGUACCGUAAGGGAAAGGUGAAAAGAACCCCUGUUAGGGGAGUGAAAAGAACCUGAAACCUGUUGCCUACAAGCUGUGGGAGCCUGGGAUUCACAGAAAGCGUAAGUUUGCUUGAGGAAAGUUUUGUUCAGAGGACAAAUUCUUUUUGAGACGCCGGCGGGGGCUUUGCGCAAGCAAAGGCCAUGACGGCGCGAACUUAUGAUUUCCGUGAAUCCCGGGUCACCGCGUGCCUUUUGCAUAAUGAGUCAGCGAGUUAAUCUGUACAGCGAGGUUAAGCGUAAGUGUAGCCGCAGCGAAAGCGAGUCUGAUAAGGGCGAGUAGUUGUGCGGAUUAGACCCGAAACCGAGUGAUCUAUCCAUGGCCAGGUUGAAGGUGGGGUAAAACCCUCUGGAGGACCGAACCCGUUAGGGCUGAAAACCUUUGGGAUGAGCUGUGGAUAGGGGUGAAAGGCCAAUCAAACUCGGUGAUAGCUGGUUCUCUCCGAAAUAUAUUGAGGUAUAGCCUCGGGAAUUGUCUUGUGGAGGUAAAGCACUGAAAGAGCUAGGGGUCCUACCAGAUUACCAAACUCUAUCAAACUCUGAAUGCCACGUAGAUGUAUCCCGGGAGUCAGACGGCGGGUGCGAAGAUUCGUCGUCGAGAGGGUAAGAGCCCAGACCAACAGCUAAGGCCUCCAAGUCCAUGCUCAGUGGUGAAGGUAGUAGAGUUACUCAGACAGCCAGGAAGUUGGCUUAGAAGCAGCCAUCUUUUAAAGAAAGCGUAAUAGCUCACUGGUCUAGUGAUUCCGCGCCGAAAAUGUAACGGGGCUAAGCAUGGCGCCGAAGCUUUGGGAUGCACUUGUUUUAUUUCUCUCGUUGUGAUGUUGGUUGCAUUACGAACAUUCAACGUGAGCAGGCAAACGUUUCAGUAAGAGAGCCGUUAAGUUCUCUUUCGUGAGAAAACCGACUGCCCGUUGGCGGGAUGUUUGCGGAUGCAAACAUCAUGACAACGGAGAAGUAAAACUAAAAGUCAUCGGUAGGAGAGCGUUCUCAUCGGGUUGAAGCUUUGGUGUAAACCAUUGUGGACUGGUGAGAAGUGAUUAUGCUGACAUAAGUAACGAUAAAACGGGUGAAAAACCCGUUCGCCGUAAACCCAAGGUUUCCUGGGUAAAGUUAAUCUUCCCAGGGUUAGUCGGAUCCUAAGGCGAGGCUGAAAAGCGUAGUCGAUGGAAAACGGGUUAAUAUUCCCGUACUUGUAAGAGUGUGCGAUGGAGGGACGCAGAAGGACAGACCAUCCGGCUGUUGGAUGCCGGUGCAAGCAGGUAGGCAUGGAUUCGAGGCAAAUCCCGAAUCCUCCAUGCCGAGACGCGAGUCCGUGACCGCAAGGUCUGAAGUGGUUGAUUCCAUGCUGCCUAGAAAAGCUUCUAAGUUUAGCUCUUGCAAUCCGUACCGCAAACCAACUCAGGUGGGUGGGUAUAAAUGUACCAAGGCGCUCGAGAGAACUCUGGUUAAGGAACUCGGCAAAAUAACCCCGUAACUUCGGGAGAAGGGGUGCUCUUUAUGGUGAGUGUUUUACAUAACAAGCUGUGAAGAGCCGCAGAGAAAUGGCGGUGGCGACUGUUUACUAAAAACAUAGGGCUAUGCGAAGUCGUAAGACGCGGUAUAUGGCCUGACGCCUGCCCGGUGCCGGAAGGUUAAGAGGAGAGGUCAGCGCAAGCGAAGCCUUGAAUCGAAGCCCCGGUAAAACGGCGGCCGUAACUAUAACGGUCCUAAGGUAGCGAAAUUCCUUGUCGGGUAAGUUCCGACCUGCACGAAUGGCGUAACGAUCUCCGCGCUGUCUCAACCAGAGACUCGGUGAAAUUGAAUUAAGAGUGAAAAUGCUCUUUACCCGCAGUGUGACGGAAAGACCCUGUGCACCUUUACUAUAGCUUGACAUUGGGUUUUGAACCACCAUGUGUAGGAUAGGUGGGAGGCUUUGAAGCGUGUACGCCAGUAUGCGUGGAGCCAUCCUUGAAAUACCACCCUUGUUGGUUUAAGACUCUAAUCCGCCGCCGUAACCCGGCGCGGAGACAUUGUCUGGUGGGUAGUUUGACUGGGGCGGUCGCCUCCCAAACAGUAACGGAGGCAUACAAAGGUUCCCUCAGCCUGAUUGGAAACCAGGCGCCGAGUGCAAACGCAUAAGGGAGCUUGACUGCAAGAGUGACAGCUCGAGCA